GUUUAUUUAAGGGUAAAUGUGUGAUAACAUUAGCCUGCAGGAAUAUACUUUCCUGUGUGAUUUAUUAGUUCCCCAUUCAUCAGUUUAAAAGCACUAUGAACUCCAUUUAUUUUAACUAGGUGUAGCUAAUAAACUCAUCUGAGUUUCAUUUAAAUGAAUUGCAUUUAAACUACAAUAAAGAGUAACUGUGAAGCAUUUUGACCGAUUCUGUUAGGAAAGCUAUAUGGAUGUAUUUGGUUGGCUGGCCUCACAUUUUUCCCUCUUUCUCUUUCCAGUGAUGUGGCAGUGUAAGGGGUGUUCCGUUGCAGUAGCUAGUAGGUCUUUACGUCUUAAUCAUUAUAAACUGAAGCAUCCACAUUUUUGGCGCACCAUCCACUAUCCAUGAACAUUUAAGACUUGGAAUGCUUUAAUUGUACACCAAAGUAGAGUUCAUUCAACACAAGUUAGUCAGACUCAAAAAGAGUUGGCUACUUUCAGCUGUCACUUAUGUAGAUGCAAAAAUCUAUCUAAUGAAAGGGAAUACUUUAUUCAUAUCAACAUACAUCUGAGGAGAAAUGAAAUAUUCUCUGACAUGUUUGUUGGCUGUACUUUUCAAACCAAUAUUUAUGAAACGUUUGUCUCGUAAGAGAAGCCGACACACACCUCAUAACCUAACUGAUUUUAUUCCUGGUAUUGUGUUAACAACUACAUUAGCAUUACCAUCAUUACAUGAUUCUUCAGCUGAUUGCCAGGAUGAGGAGUUUGUGGAAGGGGAAGUUUCUGUUGCACCCCUAGAUAAAUGCAGAAUUUAAGCGCAUUACCACCAUGCCCCUGCAAUCCAGAUUUCGGUCACAGCUGGAUGUACGAUCUGACAAACUUCUAAAGCUGUUCGAAAAACGAGGAGGACAGAUAGGCAAGCGUCUUGAGAGAACUUUGGCCCCCAUGACUCAAGACGAUGACGUUGAUGCAGGGCGGGAAUGUGUUCUCAAGUGGCUGUGUGUGUACCUCAACGAAGGCCCAGCAAAUCUUGUCAGGGAGUUUGUGGCAGAGAACGAAGCUGUCAUCAAAAUCGAUUGAGGACACCACGUGGGAAUAUUUGUCGUGAAAAAUGAUGCAACCAGUGGUCCAGAGGACGUGGGGAUUGUCCUGGAAGGCCUGCAGAUAAUGCAAGGACUGGACAACACUGCAUUAGCUGCUGCCAUAUUGUUUGGCCUAAUGUAUGUAUUGAACCUCAACUACCCUCCUGAGCUAAAGUACACGUUUGAAGUGCGCCAAAAAGUUGUGAUGGAGCUGGACGGCACCACGCGCUCAAAGAAAGCCCAAGUUCUCAAAAACAGACUGAGUGAGCUGUUGUCCUUGGAUCUUUUUGCUCAUCGACUUGAUUCUGGACUGUUCACAUGCAACUUUGCUGUUCUUUGUUCUUGCAGUAUUUACAUACAGCAUGUCUACUGUAUUAUCAAAUGAAUGUUUUUUUCUGGAGCUCAUGCGUUCCCAAAAUGUGACUCGGAUUUGCUGUUUUCUCUUAAAGUAAUAGAGCUGCUGAAUGAGCUGUUGCCAUGGACCAUGUUUGCUCUGUGAAUGCACUUGUCUUUUGACAUGCACUCAUGCAGCUUUAGUUUUUCCUGUAUUAUUUUUGCAGUAUUUAGAUUCUUGGAAGAUUUACAUUUGUUGUAGGAUUAAUGAUGUUUGUCCAGGUCUACUGAUGGUCUACUCAUUGUUUGUUGUGCGGUGAUUCAUUCAAAACACUGGCAGUACUUUUUUAUUUUAUUAUUUAAUUACACUUUUAUGCAAAGUAAAAAAAAACAUAAUGCAACCUAACAUGUUGUUUUGGGAUUUCAGUGUUAAUGUCUGUUUUCAAAAAGAUUGUUAAUUUGGCACAAUUGUCAGAUUGUAGCAGUUGUGGAUGUUUACUGUUUUCUCCUGAUUGGGUCCUGCUGUACUGCGUACAAAUUGCAUGUCCAAACUAUUGCUAUUUGAAGGUGGAGUCAGCGAUUAAGGGGAAUUAUUGUUGUAAAAAAAAAGUGAAUAUCUCUUUAUGAUCCGCUACCUGUCCGUACUUAUGUGCUAUAAAUCCUUUGUUAGUGCUCAGCCUAGGCUCUGUAAACCAAAUUUAAGCAGUAUUAUUCGUAAUACAACAUUUAUUUACCAUAUUUCUAGGUAAUUUCAUUGUUUUAAAAUGUGAAUGUUUCUAAUCAAACA
ensembl:lncRNA